rnacentral:rRNA from 1 species
UACGAGAGGCCCAAACGUUAUUCGGAAUUACUGGGCUUAAAGAGUCCGUAGGCGGCGCGGAAAGUGGGGUGUGAAAGCCCUCGGCUCAACCGAGGAAUUGCGCUCCAAACUACCGUGCUUGAGGAACCUAGAGGUGAGCAGAACUGAUGGUGGAGCGGUGAAAUGCGUUGAUAUCAUCAGGAAUACCGGAGGCGAAGGCGGUUCACUGGGGGUUUUCUGACGCUGAGGGACGAAAGCCAGGGUAGCGAACGGG